CCGCGGCACGGCCCCGCCCCGCAGGCCCGGUAACGGCGGCUUCCUGCCGGGGGGCCGGGCGUUGGGUGCGGAGGGUGCGGGGCUGGGGCCGGGCCCGUCGGUCCUGAGCCCGCUGUGGGGCUGGGGUCCCUGCUGUGGGGCUGGGGUCCCCCCUGUGGGGCUGGGUCCCCCUGUGGGGCUGGGUCCUGUCAGUCCCGAGCCCGCUGGGGGGCUGGGAUCCCGCUGUGGGGCUGGGGUCCACUGUGGGGCUGGGGUCCCGUCAGUCCUGAGCCCCCUGUGGGGCUGGGGUCCCACUGUGGGGCUGGGUCCUGUCAGUCCUGAGCCCCCUGUAGGGCUGGGGGCCUGCUGUGGGGUUGGGGUCCUGUCAGUCCUGGUCCCCCUGUGGGGCUGAGUCCCUGCUGUGGGGCUGGGUCCUGUCAGUCCCAAGCCCCCUGUGGGGCUGGGGCCCUGUGGGGUUGGGGUCCAUCAGUCCUGGUCCCGCUGUAGGGCUGGGUCCCAUCAGUCCUGGUCCUGCUGUGGGGUUGGGGGCCCGUCAGUCCUGCUGUGGGGCUGGGUCCCCCCUGUCCUGGUCCCGCUGCAGCCCUGCCGUUGCUGGGGUCCUGCCCUGGGGCUGUCCCGUCCCCACCAUGCUCCUGAAUAAAGUCCCGCACCCGCCUGGGGUCCCGUCCCUUCCCUGCUCACCGAGCUGCCCCCAACUCCUCCCUGCUCCCCCUCAUCAAGGCUGAAGGGGACUCAGCCUUAAUAAGGGGAGGCCCUGGGAAGGGACUGGGCACUAAACCGAGCUCUCCUCCCGCUCCCAGGGCUCCUCCUAAAAAUGCCGCUGUGUGAAGGCCGAGGAGGCGGUGAGCAGGUGCUGAUGAAAAAUGAAAGCUAUUUGCCGAUCGUGAAAAAUAAAGAUCAGAGGAAGAGGCUUGUCCAUGAAAUCUGCUCCUUUUUAGACAGCAGUCAGUCCCUGCAGGAAAUCGAUGCUUUGAGGACAGAAAAUAGGAAGCUUAAAAAUGCGAACUCAAGGCUGCGAUAUAAAACAAAAGAUUGGGCGAUAAGGAGAGAAGAAUAUAAAAAUGAGAUCGAGAGACUUUCUGGCGAGAUCUCCAACUACUUAAAUGUCACCAACUUCUGGGAUGAAGAGUCCGAGCAUCUUAACGGCCCAGCACUCAGACAGAGGGCGCCUGCGGAGCGGAGGAAAGGUAAGGGCUGCGAAAGAGGUGCUGGUGCGGGGCUGCCGUGGCGUUGUCCUGGCCCUACAAAACUCAGAAUCUUCUUGGUCGUAACCCCUACAUCUCUUGGGACGUUGCUGAGGUGCAGCAACGGGGAAAGCGGAGGAUGUAACGUCUCACCUGCCCUUAAAACCGCUAGGUCCUGUAGUGAAAUCUCUGUCUUGCCAAAGGGAGAGGUCUGGAAAAAAGGAACCUGCUCCUGA
ensembl:lncRNA